UAGGGAAUCUUCGGCAAUGGGGGCAACCCUGACCGAGCAACGCCGCGUGAGUGAAGAAGGUUUUCGGAUCGUAAAGCUCUGUUGUAAGUCAAGAACGAGUGUGAGAGUGGAAAGUCCACACUGUGACGGUAGCUUACCAGAAAGGGACGGCUAACUACGUGCCAGCAGCCGCGGUAAUACGUAGGUCCCGAGCGUUGUCCGGAUUUAUUGGGCGUAAAGCGAGCGCAAGCGGUUUGAUAAGUCUGAAGUUAAAGGCUGUGGCUCAACCAUAGUUCGCUUUGGAAACUGUCAAACUUGAGUGCAGAAGGGGAGAGUGGAAUUCCAUGUGUAGCGGUGAAAUGCGUAGAUAUAUGGAGGAACACCGGUGGCGAAAGCGGCUCUCUGGUCUGUAACUGACGCUGAGGCUCGAAAGCGUGGGGAGCGAACAGGAUUAGAUACCCUGGUAGUCCACGCCGUNNCGAUGAGUGCUAGGUGUUGGAUCCUUUCCGGGAUUCAGUGCCGUAGCUAACGCAUUAAGCACUCCGCCUGGGGAGUACGACCGCAAGGUUG
rnacentral:rRNA from 1 species